rnacentral:rRNA from 1 species
UACAGAGGUCUCAAGCGUUGUUCGGAUUCAUUGGGCGUAAAGGGUGCGUAGGCGGCGCGGUAAGUCGGGUGUGAAAUCUUGGAGCUUAACUCCGAAACUGCAUUCGAUACUGCCGUGCUUGAGGACUGGAGAGGAGACUGGAAUUCAUGGUGUAGCAGUGAAAUGCGUAGAGAUCAUGAGGAAGACCAGUGGCGAAGGCGGGUCUCUGGAUAGUUCCUGACACUGAGACACGAAGGCCAGGGGAGCAAACGGG